rnacentral:rRNA from 1 species
UACGUAGGGUGCAAGCGUUAAUCGGAAUUACUGGGCGUAAAGGGCGCGUAGGCGGUUCGUUAAGUCUGUCGUGAAAUCCCCGGGCUCAACCUGGGAAUGGCGAUGGAUACUGGCGAGCUAGAGUGUGGCAGAGGAUGGUGGAAUUCCCGGUGUAGCGGUGAAAUGCGUAGAGAUCGGGAGGAACAUCAGUGGCGAAGGCGGCCAUCUGGGACAACACUGACGCUGAAGCACGAAAGCGUGGGGAGCAAGCAGG